rnacentral:rRNA from 1 species
AUGAUUCAGGCAUGGGUCAUGUUCAUGCACAUGAGAGUUGUUUGUCGUGGUGAGAAACCUAUCAUCUGUUAUGCUCCAAUGCUUAUGCGGGGGCGGGAGAGGAUCGCCAAUGUGAACUACAUCUACAACUGCAACGACACAAAGGGCUUGUAGAUGCUUCAAAUGAAAAGAGCACCAUUUGACGUACUUGUCCAGACCUUCAGGAGCAGGCUGCUACAAGAUAGCAUCCACACCAGUGUGGAAGAGCAAGUGACCAUGUUCCUUCAUGUUGUUGGCCAUAAUCAGAGGUUCAAGGUGAUACACAACACGUUUAAAAGAUCAAUGAAGACCAUCUCAAGGUACUUCAAGCAAGUGAUCUGUGUUGUUGGGGAACUCAGAGGAGAGAUGAUCAAGUCAUCAACCGGUCGGACUCCUACCAAGAUUCACACUAGCCCAAGAUGGUAUCAAUACUUUAAGGUGAGCACUGACAGUAUGUGCUUCAUGACUUUAUAUGCUUGUGUUUGUUCAAGGUGA